rnacentral:rRNA from 1 species
GACGAACGCUGGCGGCGUGCUUAACACAUGCAAGUCGAACGGCAAGGCCCUGCUUUUUUGGUGUUCUCGAGUGGCGAACGGGUGCGUAACACGUGAGUAACCUGCCCUUCUCUUUGGUAUAACUUCAGGAAACUGGGGUUAAUAUCGGAUAGCAUCUCCUGCUGCAUGGUGGGGGUUGGAAAGUUUCGGCUGUUGGGGAUGGACUCGCGGCUUAUCAGCUUGUUGGUGGGGGAGUGGCUUACCAAGGCAUUGACGGGUAGCCGGCAUGGGAGGGGGACCGGGCACAAUGGGACUAAGAGACGGAGCAGAGUGGAACAGGAGGCAGUGGUGGGGAGUAUGACACAGUGAGCGGAAGCCUGAUGAAGAGGCGUCGGGGGCGGAAUGACGGCCUUCGGGGAAAAAAAAGCUGUCGGCUGAGACGAAGCGUGAGUGACGGUAAUGAAUAAAGAAGCACCGGCUAACUACGUG